GACGAACGCUGGCGUCGUGCUUAACACAUGCAAGUCGAACGGAAAGGCCCUGCUUUUGUGGGGUGCUCGAGUGGCGAACGGGUGAGUAACACGUGAGUAACCUGCCCUUGACUUUGGGAUAACUUCAGGAAACUGGGGCUAAUACCGGAUAGGAGCUCCUGCUGCAUGGUGGGGGUUGGAAAGUUUCGGCGGUUGGGGAUGGACUCGCGGCUUAUCAGCUUGUUGGUGGGGUAGUGGCUUACCAAGGCUUUGACGGGUAGCCGGCCUGAGAGGGUGACCGGCCACAUUGGGACUGAGAUACGGCCCAGACUCCUACGGGAGGCAGCAGUGGGGAAUAUUGCACAAUGGGCGGAAGCCUGAUGCAGCAACGCCGCGUGCGGGAUGACGGCCUUCGGGUUGUAAACCGCUUUCGCUCAUGACGAAGCUUUGUGUGACGGUAGUGGGUAAAGAAGCACCGGCUAACUACGUG
rnacentral:rRNA from 1 species